CUGGGGCCUGUGCACUUGUACAGUUGCUGCUUGUUGGUUACCUAGAGGGAAUGCAGACUUGCCCACCAUUUGCAGAAGCCCAAGUAGGGAGGAGGCGAGGAAGCCUGGACCACCCCAGUGCUCACCAUCCUGUGGCUGUGGAUAAACGAUCAUAGGAAGAUGCCCAAAUAUUCAAACAUCAGAGUAAGACAGAGGCGUCC
rnacentral:lncRNA from 1 species